rnacentral:ncRNA from 1 species
GGUUCUUCAGCGUGCUGUCGAGCGGCUUAAUGAACAAACUAUUAUUACGCAGCAAGACAUCCCCUUUGGCGGUGACCAGCUCGCCAUCCAGCGGAAUAUCAAGAUGUAAGCGAGCAUUCACAUCGCCGUCAAUCUGGAGCUGCUCCAGCGUGGCACCGAGAGAAUCUUUCAGCGGCGUGUCGUCAAAAUACGGGCCGACCGCUUUACCCGGCCCAUUGAUAUCGGCAUCAAUCAGCAGCUUUUCUUUGGCAUAGUCCGGGAUGAUCGCGGUCAGAUUGCUGGCCUUAACACCGCCCAGAUUGACGCUAUCCGCCUUCAUCCACAGGCCAUCGUUCAGGAAGUCCAGCUCAAUGUUGAGGUCGGUCAGCGCGGGCCAGUCAGGCUGGAAAGCAAACUUCGCGUUACGCAGCGGCAC